rnacentral:lncRNA from 1 species
GGAGCAGCCACAGCAGCCCAUGAUUCUGGUAGAUUGAGGGUGGAUCAGGUAGAGGAGCAGGCGUGACUGCAGAGGGAGCUGAACCGACAUUUCUGAAAGAAGACGUACAAAUGACCAACAAGAGCUUGAAGGAAUGCUCAGCAUCAUUCAUCAUCAGGGACACGCAAGUCAAAACCACAAUGAGGUGUCCUCUCAUCCCACAGAAUGGCCAUUAUCAAAAAGGCAAAAAUAAAUCCUGCAGAGGAAGUGAAGAAAGGGAACUCGUAUGCUGUUAGUGGGAAGUUGUACAACCACUAAGGAAAACUGUAUGGAGAUUCCUCAAAAAGCUAAAAAUAGAGCUAACCCAGCAAUCCCAC